ensembl:lncRNA TRHDE-AS1 TRHDE antisense RNA 1
ACAGCCAGAGCAGGCAUCGGAGAGCUCACGCGGGCCGAGGGCGCGCGACUGGGGAUGCUGGCCCGGGUUCUUUUAAGACGGGUUCUGGACACAAGCGACGGCAGCUUCCGCGACCCCCAUCAGCCCCGCCUCACUCUGGACACCGGGCUGUGAGCUCUGGGACGCGCCCAACUUGGAAAGCGUCUUGCUUGCCCAGCGCGCGCUACUUCUCGGACGAGCACCCGGCGGCGGGGCACAUGCUGCCCCCGCCCCUGCGCGCCUGCGGCUCCCGGCUCUCCCUCCCCUGCGCCGCGCUCUCGCCUCGCUUUCCGCGGGAGCCUUCCAACCGGUUCUCGGCUAGGGAGAAGGACGGGAGCGGUGGGAAGAGCGAGGGUGUAGAGAGGGAAGUUAGGGCUUUCGCUUUCUCCCCCCACUCCAGCGGCGGCGUUCGGUCCUCUGGGUGGAAUGUGCUCGCAGCAGCAGUGACGGCGGCCACAGCACGGGAGGCACCCGAGCCAUACACCCUGCAGCUGGAGAGAAAAGGAUGGCCGAGGUGGGAGAGACUAGAGUGAACCAGCAGGAGGAAGUCCCAGGGCCGCGAAGCUACGACGGAGAUCCGUCCUGGAAAAGCCUUCUCCACCCUGGGCACUUUAAGCGGCGGUGGCGGCAAACGGCAGGAGGUUGCAGACCCGACAGCGAGACUCCCUCAUUCCAGUCUUGCUCUGCCCUCCGGAGAUGACAAGUGAGAAAGAAGUGUCCGGCCGGGCCAUCCCCUUCAGAGAAGCAACCACUUCACAAGAAGAUUCUGAAGUUGGCCAUUUUUGAUCCCAGAACAGUUUCUCAUAGAUUAGAAAUAUUGGAGUCUACACAAAAAUCGAUAUUCAUUUACAAGAUCAUCACUAAACUUAUCUUGCAUAACGUAAGUGGCAAGCUCUGACUUGUGAUUUUUUCAUAAGAAAAAUGUUUUUUAACUUAGUAUCAUUUCUACAACAAUGUCCCAUGAUAAUUGAUUCUAGGUGAUUUGAAACACUGCUUAGUCCUGUUUUAGAAAAAGCUCCCAUAUCUGAUUUAGUCUCAUAUGCAGCUUACUUCUAACAUCAGAUUGAAUUUGCAUUGAGUUACCUUACUCGGUUUAUUUUUUAAUUAUGUUGCAGUUACAAGGGAAUAAGGAAAAGUCAGUAUAGUGCAUUGAAAUGUCUUUUUUAAUUGAGACACACAAGAAAUGUGUUAUAGGUUCCCAAACAUUCUUCAUGUAUUAGAGAUGUUAUAAUAAUCUUUUGAAUAGCCAAGUGAAAAGGAAUGGUUUCACCUGAACAUGUUAGAAUUUAUUGCUACAUUUUUUGUGUGUUGUGGUGGAGAAAUAAAUUUUUAAAUCGCAUUUAUGGAGUCAUUUCAGAACAAGUAGAAAACAUGUAAUCUGGUCACUUUGAAUGUGUAAGUGUUUGUAUCUGAACUCCUCCUGCCCUAUUAAGAGUGGAAGGUUGUACUAUAUGUUACUCAAAAAGUAAUUUUCCCCGGAUAUGCAAUAAGACCUCAGAUUUGACCUAUAAGCUGAAUGUCAUAAGCUAUCCAUUAGCUAUGCUGGAAGCACACCACCAACAACAAAAAAGUUUUAAGUAUUUUUAUAGGCUUGCUAAAAUCUGAUUAUAGAACCAAGGCAGUCAAAUACCAUGAGUAAGACUGCAGAAACCCUAGAAUUUAACUCCCUAGUUAUUCUUAAUGAGUGAAUCCUGUGCUUUGUGUCUAAAAGCAAUGUAUUGUGCUUUCCAAUUCAGGAAAUGCAUUUUAAUUGCUAUACUCAUUGAUACAUCAAUCUGUCCAUGACAUUCUGACAUAUAUCCAGUUUCCUAUGGAUUCGGUAUAGGAGCAAAUUAAAAGAUGCACUAGAAUGGUAACAUUUAAUCUAUAAUCCUCCAUUUAACCUUUAUGUGGCUGUCACAGAACAAGUCCUGUUUUUAGAGUUGAACCAAAAAACAAACAAAACAAAACAAAACAAAACAAAACAUGCACACACACUAGAGAAACGGCUUUUUUUUUUUUAACCUGGGGACCAUGAAAAAGUUUUGACCAUUCCCCGACCCCCAUGCUUCAACUUUAGCUUUGAUAGUUAAAGUAUGUCUUCCUUCAGUUUAAGUUGAACAAACUUCUGCAUAAGACCCUCCAGAAAACCUCUGAACACAUACAGUUUUGGGGGCAAUGGGGACUGAACUAUGUACAAAUAGGUGAUACUUCAGCACACAAUUCCUGGGAUAAAUUUUAUCCUCUUCUCAUUUUUAUUUUUAUGAACUAUAUGGGGUUUUUUAAACAAGUUACAAGAAGCAAAACACAUUUUACCUUUACUCUGUUACAUAUUUCAAAUUAAGCAGAUCCUAAUUAAUUGGGUUACAUUAUGUAACAAUAGCCUUUUUAAUAUCAAAUGGUUUUUAUGAUCUGUCUUCAAUUUUUCUUAAAAUGAGACUGCACUAAAGAUUUUCUUGACAUUUCUGAGAAUUUCAUUUUCAGUUUCAAAAAAUUAUUUAUUCCUUUAAUCUUUCAAUGUGGAAAAGUAAUGAAUAUUGAUUCAUUUUUAGAAGCGCUAACAUCCAACUAGGUAAACUUCAUGAGUGAUGGCUAUUAAUGUUCUCUUUCAUCUUAUAGACAGAAAAUCAAAGCUAUUUAAAGUAAAGGAUUUGUUUCAAAUCAAUGUAUGUCCACAAAUUAACAUUAAUGUUUACAAUACUUUCUGUGAUAAUUGUGUCUUACUUGGGUGUAUAUAUGUCUUUAUAUCUAUCUGUAAAGAUAUAGUUGCAAGUAGAUGAGAGACGAAUGUUCAUGUUUCUAUAUGGUCUGAAUAAAAGUGUUAUCACUAUGCUAACUUGCAGUGUUAUAAAAUGCACCAAUGGCUCUUUGUGCCACUCCUUCAUUUUCAGUGGUUACCAAGAUAGUCAAAUUAAACUGCUGAUGUGAUAAUCAUCCAAACAUUUAAUUUUAACACUAUGAUUAUAGAAUUUUUUUAUUUCUAUGAGAUUUACCUAUAGUAGCUUUCUGUUUAAUGUUCAAUGUUCUAUAGGAGUUUCCUUUUAAAUGUUCAGAGCAGGAGCUAUACCCUCUAGGAUAUGCAAAUAAUCAAGUCUUAGCGACCUUAUAAAAUAUAAUCCACAUUAUGAAUCAAACAGAAUGAGCCUUCAGAUCUGAUUGCCUAAGGCUCAAAAUGUUAAUGCUCCUGAAAUGCCUUGUACAUAUUAGCUAGUUGAAAUUGCAUUAAAACAAGAGAACGAAUUGUAGUCUUGACCUCAGUCUCAUUUCACCAGCCUUUGCCUGCUACUGCCAACCUGAGAGGGGAGCUUCUGCUCUGCAGAUGGAUGGACAGCUGCUGAUCUUCACCUCCUGUCUGUUCCCACAAUUCUAAAAGAAUUAGGCCUGAGGAACUUAAUCUUCUGGUGUUCCAUUGUGAACUGACUUUAUUAAAUUUUUUCCAAAGUUCAGUGUUCUUCAGUUCUUUCUCAGAGUACAAAUUGAAGAGACACAGAGCCAGUUCCAAAUGAACUGAAAUUGUUUUGUAAAAAAUUAAUUCAAACAAUAAUGCCAUGGAAAAGCACUUUGAAUUUUUCAAUUCCCAGGCUAUUGAUUCUAAAAAAGAAACAAUUCUAAAUUAUCCACAUGUUCUCAUUUAUUAGUCUAGAGCUCUUGCCCAAAGAAUUAUUUGCCAAGGUAAUAUAUAGAACAUCAGGAUGAUUUACUUGCUUUUCUAAUACCAUUUUGCCCACAAACUCUAUGGAACUGAAAGCAUGUCAGCAGCAAAAGAAGGUCCACUAGCAGCUAUAAAAGAGAGCUUACUAAUGAACAAUAAAUAUCUAAAAGUAAAGGGAAAGGAGCCAAAUUCCAUUUUCAAAAGCCAAAAUUCUGCAGUAGGUAAAUAUCACAGAUAGCAUUGCUUAUUAUUUAUAAUCACUACUAAGAGUAAUCUAUCAUUUCUUUAAAUCCUCAAAAUAGGUCUCUGCCAGCCACAUUAACUGCCUGCAGAAAAGUUUGUUAUGACUGCCUGGUUUUGUAAAGUCCAGACAACUUUACACUAAGCUGAAUAAUGUUCAUUUACUCAAAAGCUAGUCUAAAAUUGUAGAGUUAAUGAACACUAAACCAAAGUUAGUGCUUUAACUGAAAGAUAAUUUACUGUACCCUUUGGAGUCCAGUCCGGUACCAUCAAGAUCUGGGAAAAUACAACUGUUACCAAGAAUAACUGUAAAAUGUGCUGGGAAUGCAAUGUCCUGAGAUAAGGAAGAACUGCCUGAAACAGCCUGGAUCUUAUUCCUGUACUUCCUAGGGAAUGUAACAUCUCAAGUUAAAGAGGAACUGCCCGGAACAGCCCGGGGAUUGUUCCUCUCUCCUGAGAAGGAAGAUUACCUCCAAAGCUCAUCCACUGAGUCACACUGCCCCUGUGGUGGAGGGCGGGCUGCCUUUCCAGGUUCCUCAGCUGUGGUGUAACUGAAGCAGGCACAAUCAAGACUCCAUCUGCUCGAGGCAGCUUUCUCGAACCUUGGGGAACCUACUCACAAUGGAUCACAGGCUUCUUUUGUUUUGUUUCUUGCUGCCUAUCUGUAAGUAAUUAACUUGCUUCAUGUAACGUGUUGCAUAUGAGUGUGUUCUGUCUCAUAGACUCAGGGAAUUGGUAACACUGCAGCUGAGGACGCAGUGGACAGAAGUGUUCAGACUCCUGUUCCUUGUGGUUGACACAGUGAUGAUGAUCUCUUCUGUCCUCCACAGAGUGGAAGUCCUCUCUUGGGAUUGGUUAUUGGUGAAACCACUUCGCAAUUUAUUAAGAUGGCAAAAGCUUACGGAGGGACAGAUUUGAGGGGAAGAUCAAGAUUUUUCUGUCAGUAUUGCAAAUAGUCAAGAAUAUGUGGUCCAAGAAGUGAUCAUUAUCUUUGGCAUUGUGCAAGUCAUUAGUGACCUUCACAUGAACAGUCUCAGUGGAGUGUUGGAGGAAAAAGCCUAACUGAAGAAGGUUCAAGAGUGAAUGGAAAAAGAGCAGUAGUAUGUGGAGAGUACAGACAAGUAUUUCCAGGAGCCUUUCUGUAAAGAGUGGUAGAGAAUGGGACAUCAUUUUUGGAUGGGGGAAGAGUUAUUUAUAGCAUGUUCAUAUGCUAAUGGAAGUGAUCUACUCAUGGGGAAAAUCUUGAUGAUGCAAGAAAGAAAGGGAUUUGUUGGAAUCUUGUCCUAUAACGGGUGAGAGGGGAUGGGUUCUAGAAGAAAAGGCAUGGGUCUUUGUUUGAGAUCAGGCAAUUCAUCUGUAGGAACCAGUAGGAAGAUGGUUAAGUGGGUACCUGUGGUAGUGGAUGUUUGUGAACAUUCUUUUCUUUUCCAUUGUUUCUAUUUUCUCAAUAAAGUGGGAAGCAAAAAUCAGCUGAGUGAAGAUGAGGAAGAAGGUGUUAAAGGUUUGAAGAAAAAAGGAAAAGGAUAUACUAAUCUAAGAGGACAAGUAAGUAGAACAUAGAUAAUGAAAAUGCUGGCCCUUAGGACUGUUGGGCCUAAAUGCUCAUAUUAUAUUGGUAGUCACAAAUUUGAACUUUCUCUAGAGCCAAUUUUUGCAUGUGUGUGCAGGCCUGGAGUAGUUGGAGAGUUGGAUUUAAUAGAAUUGAGGGUCAAGCAACUACAACCAGGGAAGAGUGGGACAAGGGAGAUAAAGGAUAUUGGCAGGGGAGCAAUUAUAAACAUGGACCAUGAUCAAAACUGGACAGGAAGGAAAAUAGAGAUAAGAGGGGUGGAAGGUUAAAAAUAGUGAAAAUGAGAUAGAAUGAAUAGGUUGUAGGUCCCUGUAAAGUUGAAGAAGUAUUAUUAUGCAGUACUCGUUAUUGAAAUGAGGUCACUAUGCUUAAGGCACAGUGAAUCCUAGAAAAUAGUGGUUUUGUUUCUCAUUAGGCAAUACAUUCCUCCUUGCUCCAGAAUGCAACAUACAUGUAUCCUUUUCUGUACUAUUUUUUAUUAAGAAUUCAUACUUAAUUCCACUGACUGCCACUCAAUUUUAAUGUACAGUAGGGAAUUCCUGUACUAUGUAUUAUGAAUCCAUUCCUUUGAAUUUCAUUUAUAAUACUUCAUGACUGACACCUGGCUUUCCACCAAGACUCAAUUUUCAUAGCAAGCCUCAUCAUCAUAAGCCCCCAAAUUAACAGGAUGAGGAGGAAGAAUUGGCAGGCUAAAGAAGAUGAUUAUAUCAAUUAAUGCAGAAAAAGCAUUUGAUAAAAUCCAAUAUUCAUUUGUAAUUAAAAACUCUCAGCAAGUUAGGGAUAGGAAUUACUUCAACUUAAUGAAGAGUGUCUUUAAAAACCUUAUUUUCAUCAGUUAUAACAAAUGUACCACUCUGGUGGUGAAUGUUGCUAAGGAGGGAAGCUAUACAUGUGUGGGGAAAGGAGAUGUGUGAGCAAUUUCUGUACCUUCUACUCAAUCUUCUGUGAGACUAAAAUUGC